rnacentral:lncRNA from 1 species
GUGAGUUUUCUGAAUUAUAGAAGCAGUAUAUUUAUACUAAAAAGAAAUCGCCGUGUGGUCAUAUAGAUUCAAAAUAAUGGUCGUAACUAAAUCGAAUAUCACACAUAACUUGCGCUCCAAUCUUAGUCGAGAAUUACUUUAAUAUUGUAAAUAGUUAAUGCAAAUUUCCUUUUAUCAAUCACAAUUGAACAAAUUCAAAAAAGUUCACGAUUAUUAAUUGAUUACAAUCAUUUGAACCUUAAUCUACGUUCCUUAUAUACAAAAGUCAAGUCCUUGCAAAUCACGUAUUAUUACCAUCAGUUUACCAAAUUUGUAAUUUGAAAAUAUGUCAAAGUUAUUAGAAGUUUCCUUUUUCCCAAUCAUCAAUUAAUUUCGUCUUUGCAAAUAACAUUUGAAUCAUGGGCAAUUUGCUCCGCCAUUAUUUGCAUUAUGCAAGUUGGCGUUAAAAUCUUAAUUACGAUAGAUCACCUAAGGUAAGUUUUUAUAUGUGUAUGCCAGAAAAUCGUAUUGUACCUUAGUUUCUACAAUCGCAAGGCGUAGAUCAUCUAACAAUUUAAUGAAACGGGGCAAGUAUAUGUCAUAUGCAUG